CCCUUUGACCACAAAGAGUGUGUAUUCUAGUUGGAGACUUAUCAUUGAGAACACAACAGUCUCUAAGUCACAACAAUAUAGUGCACGUAAAAUAAUAAAUCCCUAACUCACAAUUAAACCCUAAGGGGGGAAGGGGAGAUGAGUGAGGCAUGAACCCCACUUAGUCUUGGCUACACCCAAGACUACUGUCAAGACCCUUUUUGGCUAAGUGAGUAUCAGGCUCUUAAAGAUGUUGUACAGUCUGGAUCACAAAAGGAGAGGGAGAAAACUCAAAAAAAUAAAAAUGGAGACAGGGUCCCAUGAAACUCAUGAAAGAUGGCAGAAGCAGAAGGAACCAAGAAUACUUAUAAGGAAUUCUGUCCUGAAUAGCUUAGCGCCACCAUUCUCUCAGGGAUCCUACUGCUCUUCUCAUUUUAUACAGAAAUGAUAGAGAUGGCAAGCACAUGUGACUCACAUAGAUACAUAUCAUGCUGCAUAGAUACUAGUUGAACAGUUUGGGGAAGGGCCAUUAUAUAGGAGACCGUUCACCCACUAUGGAGUCAGAGUUUUCCACAGAAAGAACCACAUGGAUUAUGAAUGGAAUGUCCUGGAGCCUUGCUGAGAUAUUCUAUCUCCUUCUCCUCUUCCUCCAACUUCAAGAUGCAUCCGGCCUGUGUGGAUAAUCCCUGUAAGGGUAGACUACUGCAGCAGCCCUCUGCCAUGGGCAGAAGAGGUGGUGUGUGAACCCAUCCAUGAAAGCUUUGUUCAUGAACUCUGGCCAUAUGUGUACAAGGACUCACCUCCUGAACUGACUCCUGAAUACUUGAAAUUUAAUUGGAUCUUGGAAUAGUCUUCAGUGAUCCUGACUGCAUGGUUGUAAACUCAGAUGCAACCAUCCAUGAAACAAAAACAUGAACAUUAAGUUCCAAAUGUGCCACAAUUUUUCAAAAAAAAUCCUCCCAUGGAAUUUUUAGACAUAUGCAGAUCUUCACUGAUUAAAAAUGGCCACCAUUUGUUAAUUACAGUGUUCCUGGCACACUAUAUAUUUUAUCUCAGUCCACACACAAAAUCUUUAAAGAUGGUGCCAUUAUCUUCAUUUUACAGAUGGAGAAACCAAGAGCCAGAGAUUAAGAUAACUUCUCCAAGAUCACAAGUAGCAGACUCAGGGCCAGGAUGACACCUCAGUGGACUCACAUCUGAAUCAUCCCAGGAAGUCUAGAGGGAGGAAAUGAGAGGAUGUCCUAUUCACAGAAUGGCAGAUGCCACCACCCAGCGACAAGCCAAAGGCCCCUUCUCAAAACUCUGACAAGUAGGGGAAGCAAGCCAGCCUGGCUCCCAGCUAUACCCAACAUGUCUCUUUGAAACUCACUUCAGGACCUAGGAAAGAGCUCGAGGACCAGGCCACAGGCUGUCUGUCCUACCUGAUUGGAAGUUGAGGAAAAAAAACUUAAAAAGAAAAUGCUAAGAAAUGCCAAAGCUGGAUAUGUCAAGGGAUUAGAUAAAGUAGAGAACCUUCAUGAGAAGUGUGCACACUUGUGACACAAAGCUAAGCCACCAGGAACUACAAGGACUGAACCCAAAGUCUAAAUGUAUGUGAAAGAUGGCAUUGGAUUAAGAACACACAGGCCAUGAGUGAACGAAACUCCCAGAGUUGACUCCCAGCUCCUCCGGUGAUUCCAUGACUCUGAGAACUACAGUGGUAACUCACAUAUGGAUUCAAAAUCUGGACUGGAACAUCUCCAUAUAUGUAAAACGAACUUUACAUAUACGCUUCAAUUAUAAACACAAGAGCUGAAUAUCGAAAGUGACUAACGCUGAAUGACCUAAACCUGAGUAAAUAGUAAUUGAAGAGACUGUUUAUUAAUUUGUUUGGUUUCAAAUCUGAACUUUUUAAAAUUGGAAGUGUUGAAAGUAUUUGCCUAUACACUAUUUGGAAUAUUCUCAUUAAAGUGUGAAAUUCCAAUGC